UCCACCUAUUGCGCUCUGCUUACAUUACGAAAACACAUACGUGACUCACUAAACACAGACAACUUCUCAAAGUUUUAUGAAGCUAUACCAUCUUUCCCUGGUAUUAUUUGCCGCGAAACUGUGCCUUUGAGAGCUACACUCUUAGGAACUCUUGGGCUGUCGCGUCCAACGAUGCCGUGUCCGAGGAGGAGGCCGUCCCGGUUGUGCUAGUGGACAACAGCGGGCUUUGGAAACCGGCAUAUCCGCACUCGGUGUUACAAGACGGUGCGGAGAAGCCCAAAGAAAGCGUCAAAUCGAAAACCAAGGAUGCAGCGCCUUGCGUCCAGGGUGUUCUAUCGGAUGGAGGAGAUGACAGCGCCCGCCAGUGCCCCCUCACCUCCACCACACCAGGAUACGGCGAGGACCGUCAGAUACAUGGCCCACUACAGCGAUUGAGGACAUCUCGCCACCAUCUCCACUCAAGACAAGGCAGCAGAUGUAUGAUCCUGAGGACCCCUGCUGUGCCAGACUGACUGACAGGCAAGAUGGGGGAGGUGGACCCAGAGGAGGUGGAGUUCGCCAAGGAGGCCAUGUUCUCCAGACACCCUGUGAUGAAGAAAUGGCUAGUGGGACACAACUGGUUCGUUAUGAAGCUGCAGCUGACCCAGGUCUGGCUCCAGGAUUGGGUCGGAGGGGUGUCACUCAUCCCCCUGGAAAACUACUUCAAAGCCACACCCUAC